rnacentral:tRNA from 1 species
GGCGGUCCGGUCCGGUGGCCGGACGGGCGGUCCGGUUCGGGGCCGGGUUCGGGUUCGGGUUCGGGUUCCGGGUCCGGUUCC